rnacentral:rRNA from 1 species
UACGUAGGGUGCAAGCGUUGUCCGGAAUUAUUGGGCGUAAAGAGCUCGUAGGCGGUUUGUCACGUCGGGCGUGAAAACUCAGGGCUCAACCCUGAGCGUGCGUUCGAUACGGGCAGACUAGAGGUAUGCAGGGGAGAACGGAAUUCCUGGUGUAGCGGUGGAAUGCGCAGAUAUCAGGAGGAACACCGGUGGCGAAGGCGGUUCUCUGGGCAUUACCUGACGCUGAGGAGCGAAAGCAUGGGGAGCGAACAGG